rnacentral:lncRNA from 1 species
CUCCAGGCCCCACCAGAGUUGGGACUAAAUGAGGGCUCAAAGCCAGAUAUUUCAGAAUCGUGCUGUUGUCUUGCUGGCAAAUUCUGUCUGAGUUCUGGGAAGCAGGGCUUAUCCUUGAGGGCACACCGCCCCCUGCUGGCCAAGAUGGGUUUUUCCUCCCCAGCUUAGACCAGGAGAGGAGGCAGGACGGCUGGCGACUGAGGGGGGCUGCCUCUGGAGUCUGGGUUUGAUCUCACGUAUACCAUUGACUCCUAUGUGACCUCAGAAAACGUAUGAGGAAGAAAAUAGCAGAUGAGAAGAAUCAACCAAAUUCCGGAAGCUGGAAGGCAGAUGCAAGAAGGCCCUUGAAUGAUGCCAGCACCUUGAUAUUGGACUUUCCAGCCUCCAGAACCAUGAGCCAAUACAUUUCUGUUCCAUAAAAAUUACCCAGUUCCAGGUAUUCUGCUAUAGCAGCACAAAAUGGACUAAAACAAUGUUGGCACAAGACUCAGUGCUGGGCCUGGCAUGCAACAGGUCCUUGGAGUGGCGUGCUGUGUGGAUAAUGAAUAUUGGGGAAGGCAUCUCUCUCCAGCCCCUCUCAAGCUUUCUGUAGUCACUGGUCCACUCUGUAUUGCUAUGAAGAAGCUCAAGACCAGCCUGUAUCACUCGGGGUCCUGGCAGGAACCAGGUGCCACACUCAAACUGAGUAAUUGAAGAGGGUUUAAUAUGGGAGUUAUUUACAUAGGUGUGGGCUGGUGUAGCUGCCCAUAUGCCCUCAAAAUCACCUCUACAUGGCAAUAGCUACUUACUGCUAACAGAGUCUCUCUCUCAUUGCUGCAAAUAUUUUCUAGCCAUGCAAGAAACUCAGCCGGUCAUGUUGAACAAACUAAGAGUGCCAGGAAGUUAAUGUCCUGGAAGCAUUGCCAGAGGGGAGGGGGCAGUUAGAUUCCCCAGCUUCCUCGCUCCUCUGCUGGGUUAAGCCUGCAACAUAUUCAUCAUCUCCCAGAGUGCUGCCCAGGGAUAGAGCUCCAGGUGCUCAGUGUGGUGACCUGCUCAUGUCAGCUUCUUCCCCUUUCCUGUCUUGUUUCGCACCCACAUCCUUCCCAUGUUUCCUCUUCCCAAAUAAACUACUUGCAUUGAAAUCUUUGUCUCAGGCUCUGCUUCUGGGGAAACCUGAAC